rnacentral:rRNA from 1 species
UGCAGUCGAACGUGAAAGCACUUCGGUGUGAGUAGAGUGGCGGACGGGUGAGUAACGCGUGGGAAUCUACCCAGUAGUGGGGGACAACUACCGGAAACGGUAGCUAAUACCGCAUACGCCCUAUGGGGGAAAGGCUUCGGCCGCUAUUGGAUGAGCCCGCGUCAGAUUAGCUAGUUGGUAGGGUAAAGGCCUACCAAGGCAACGAUCUGUAGCUGGUCUGAGAGGACGAACAGCCACACUGGGACUGAGACACGGCCCAGACUCCUACGGGAGGCAGCAGUGGGGAAUAUUGGACAAUGGGCGAAAGCCUGAUCCAGCAAUGCCGCGUGUGUGAAGAAGGCCUGCGGGUUGUAAAGCACUUUCAGUUGGGAAGAUGAUGACGUUACCAACAGAAGAAGCACCGGCUAAAUCCGUGCCAGCAGCCGCGGUAAUACGGAUGGUGCGAGCGUUAAUCGGAAUUACUGGGCGUAAAGCGCGCGUAGGCGGCUAAGUCAGUCAGAAGUGAAAGCCCCGGGCUCAACCUGGGAAUUGCUUUUGAUACUGCUUGGCUAGAGUUUGGUAGAGGAUAGUGGAAUUCCAGGUGUAGCGGUGAAAUGCGUAGAUAUCUGGAGGAACAUCAGUGGCGAAGGCGACUGUCUGGACCAAAACUGACGCUGAGGUGCGAAAGCGUGGGUAGCAAACAGGAUUAGAUACCCUGGUAGAAGGGC